rnacentral:rRNA from 1 species
UCCUACGGGAGGCAGCAGUGGGGAAUCUUGCACAAUGGGGGAAACCCUGAUGCAGCGAUGCCGCGUGAGUGAAGAAGGCCCUUGGGUUGUAAAACUCUUUCGUCGAGGAAGAAAAUGACUGUACUCGAAUAAGAAGGUCCGGCUAACUUCGUGCCAGCAGCCGCGGUAAU